GACGUAGGAUGCAAGCGUUGUCCGGAUUUAUUGGGCGUAAAGAGUUCGUAGGCGGUUCGUUAAGUCUGAUGUUAAAGACUGGGGCUCAACCCUGGAAGUGCAUUGGAUACUGGCGGACUUGAGUGUGGUAGAGGCAAUCGGAAUUCCAGGUGUAGCGGUGAAAUGCGUAGAUAUCUGGAAGAACACCAGUGGCGAAGGCGACUUACUGGACACAUAUUGACGCUGAGGUGCGAAAGCGUGGGGAGCAAACAGG
rnacentral:rRNA from 1 species